rnacentral:lncRNA from 1 species
CCUUUGAUUUUUAUUUUUUUUCCUAUCACCUUUGCUUUUUUGUCUAAGCUUUUAAAGAUUCGUUUGAUAAAAUCUCAUAAAAUGACACAACUACCCAUUACACUCUUUGUUCUAUUUCCAUGAGAUUUGUUCGUUCCACAGUGGCAGGCCUACCGACAAUUCUAUGUCUUCUCAGGGGCUAAAAAGGUAAUAUCAAUUUCCAAAAGAAAAAAA